AAGUAUGUUUACUAGAAGGUCAAUGAAGUGGCUUUGUAUAUAGCGGACUAUUAUGAAAAAAUUCUCGGAUGGAGCUGCUUAGAGUGUUUCAAGAUUUAUUAUUUAUUUUUUUCUGAUGUAUUUGACGGGAGGUGUAUGAGCCAUCGUUUGCAGAAGAAAAAAAAGGAGAAAAAAAAGAGCAGCAUCAUCAGCGUAUCACGCUGCUGAGGCCACUUACCUCCGUCUCCUCCGGCGCUGCCGCCUCCAUCACCUUCUCCAUGAGGGCCGGCGGCGAGCAGGUGGCCGCGCUCGAAACCCUCACAAAACAAUCGGCCCUUCGAGUCGUCUAGUUCUUCUACGGCCUCGCCUGUCCCCGAAAGGCGGCGCCUUGGGACGUCUCUAGUCCGAUUCCGCAUUUGAUCGAAAUAUCUCUUUCUCCUGCAGAGAUGGAUUGGGUUGUGAAGUAUUUUUUUCUUUGGUGGAUGGAGCAAUACAUUCCUUUUUAUCUCGAUGUUGCGCAGUUGAAUCUCUUGCUACAUAGUUUGAUUCGAAAUUUCUUAGGUGGACAUUUCUCCUAUAGCCACAUAGCAGAGGCAGUGUUCGGUUGCAGGUUAUGCAAGGGUUACAGGGGAUGCCCGGGGGAGGAGUUGAAAUGAUAUUAACCCCCUAUUUACUCCACCACCCUCUCUUGUCCAUCAUACAUAUCAUCUUUUUCCUCAACUUAUGUUGCUAACCCCAAAAGUUCAACAAAAUAGGGCUUUUUCCAAGGAUAAAGGAAUCUUGGAGCAUUUAGUGUUGGUUAGGGAUAGCUAACCCAGGUUGCUACCAAUCAUGGCCUUAAAAGUCUGCAAGUUCUUUCUCAUGAAAUACCGUGGCGAAUAAUCUUGUAAGUUAUUUCUUUCUUUAUAGCCAUCUAAAGGGUUUAACAAAAUGAAUUAUGUAUUAGAUGAAGGCAUGUAUCUAGAUGCUAUUAUGCUUUUAAAUGCUGUAGUUGCUUUAAUGAUGCCCACUUGUUGACCCCCUCCUAUAUUUGGCAUUAGUUGUUUACUCAUGGCAAUAUCAAGCUUACACUUUCUCCAUAUUUUUGGCCUUCUUAUCGAUUGCCACUGCUCUUUUAUAUUUUUUUAAGUGUAUAGAGAACAUGUUCAUGAAAGUAAAGUCUACUGUGCUGGAACCGGAGUCUGGACCGGUUGCCCGACGAUACUGGUCGGCAUGCCCCUGUACCAUUCCGUGCCGGGCCCUUACCGACAUAGUAGAGGAGGUAGGAGAUAGGGAGAACGAGAGAGAGAAAAAGAGAGAGAGAAGGGGGAGAGAGGAAGGAGAGAGAAGGAGAGUGGCGGAGGCUGGUAGAGAGCUGGCAGAGGCUGACGAGCUAUGCGGAGGAGGAAGAGGAGGGGUUUUGCCUCUGGGUCCCCUAUUUCAUUCGAAAUAGGGGUCCCGAAUGGGGGCUCUUUUUAAUUUGGCGAUUUUUAAGUAAAGUCGGCAAAUCGCUUUUCGACUUCACUUAAAAUUGCCAAACUAAAAAGAGGUCUCCAUUUUACCGACUUCACUUAAAAAUCGCUAAAUUAAAAUGGAGCCCCUUCUGGGACCCUUGUUUCGAACGAAACAGGAGACCCAUAGGUCGAGCCCCUCCUCCUCCUUCUCCGAGCUGCUCGCCGGCCUCCGGGAUCCUCUGUCGGCCGCCCUACACCUCCCUCCCUCUCUUCCUUUCUCUCCCUCCCGCUCCCUCCACUCGCUCUCUCUCUCCUUUUCUCUCUUUCAUUCUCUUUCUCUCUCUCCGUCGACGGUUUUUCAUUUCAGUUGCCAGAAUCGUUCUGGUCCGCCGCCGGUAUGGCUCCAUAUGCCCCGAACCGUCCGGUUCGGGACGGUUCUACGGACCAUAUAUGAAAGCUUCACUCUAUUGACUUUUGAGGUUUAGUUUUUUCUAAAGAUAAAACAUUUUCGUCUGGAUAGGAACAAGGCUAAUGAGGAGUAUGGUGAGAAAAUUCAAAUCACCAAAAUAAAGAUCCGUUAUUGUAUUCCAAAUGAUAACUUUAAUUAGAUUACUUCUUUGUUUCACUUGGGUUUUCCUCAAUUCUACCUCUUUUACUUCUCCUGAGUUUGAGUGUAAUUGCUUCAUAAUUAUCUAUAGCAAGGUCUGCGGAACCAUCCCAAACCGUCCGAUUCGGAGCAUCCCGAGUCGUACCGGAGGCAGACCGGAAUGGUUCCGACAUUGAUAUCGAGACGCUGUCGUCGGAAGGGGAGAAAGAGAAGAAAAAAGAGAAAAAGAGAGAGCAGGAAAGAGAGGGAAAGGGAGAGGAAGGAAGAGAGGCCGACCAGUAGAGGCCGGAGAGCCUCUGCGUGGAGGAGGCGGAGGCCGGGGAGAUGCUGAGGUGGGGCUCCGCUUCUGUCUCCUGUUUCAUUCGAAAUAGGGGCCCGGAGGGGGGCGCUUUUAUUUUUGCGGAUUUUAAGUUGAAGUCUCUCCGGCCUCCUCCUCCGUAUGGAGGCUUUCCGACUGGCUUCUCUCUUUCUUCCUCUCCCCCUCCCUCUCUGCCCUUCUCUCUCUUUUUUUCUCUCUCUUGUUCUCCCUCUCCCCCGUCUCUACUGUGUCGGUACUACACGACACGAGGCCGUAUCGACCCGUACCCCCGGGCAACCGAUACGGGGCCUAGUCUAGCAAGCGCACAGAAGGGUCAUCAGUCCAGCAGUGUCCGUUCAACCAGAGCUCUCAGCUAGAAUAGUCCCUUCCUACCUGUGUGCGUUGGACAACACAUAUUUUUCGGGUCUCUUUCCGAACUUGAUACUAGCUUCUUCUCUGUCUUACCUUGUUCUUGAGCCCACCGAAUUCUCCUUGUACUUCAUGACAGGUUUGUCUUACCUUUAGAGCAUGAUUCACCUACCUUUGCCUGUGACUCUGCUUGCUUCGCCAAUUAUAGGGAUUGGAGAUUAGCUGGGACGAAUAACCAACUGUAGGGCUUGGUCAAAUCGAUCGACCAGGGAAGGAUAUGGGAAAAGGUCAAACUCCAUAUCAUUUUUUUCCUCAGUUGACAACAGACCUUGGUCUAUAGUAUUACUGCUAGAGGGUAUGGAAGAAUUAUUUUUGAUAGGUAGGCUUUCGGUCUUAUUGUUUAUAGCAAAUAUAUUCUCAAGAUGAUUGUAUCAGAAUCAAAGCCACUAACUUCUGGUUUGAUUACUAAAAAUGUAUAAAUUAUGCUAUUUUGGGAUAGGCUAAGAACAUACAUUCCAUUAUUUUAGGGCUCAACUUCCUCUUUUGGUGGAUGGAACCCCACCAACAGACUAUAAAGAAGUCAAAUUUUAAUUUAUGACACUUCGAUAAUCAAUAGGAAACUUUAUCAGAGGUUUUACAGGGGGCAUAAUUUAAUAUGUGAUAGGCCAUUAACAAAGCUACCACCCACAAGUUGUUGGGUAGGCCAAAAUUAGCUAACAUGGCAUUAAGGAUGUCAAGAAAUAUCCUAUUCCACUCUGCCAUCUUAUUGGGUUGGGGUCGAAAAGGAUGAGUUAUUUCAUGGUUUAUACCCAUCUUCUCACAAAAUGAGAACAUAUAAGUUAAGGUAUAAUCUCCUUCCCUGUGGGGUCUCAAGAUUUUGAUUCUCUUAUCUGACCAAUUCUCCACCUCUAAUUUAUAAAUUUUGAAUUUUUCAAGGUUCUAUGUUUUUCUUAUCAAAAACACAUAGUCAAUAUUCGCCGUCUUAGUAUCGGAUUCCGUACCGAUGCCACACUACCACAAUAUUGGUAUGGUAUGGUACGGAGUUUUUGGGUACACCGAAUGUCGAUACGCCGCCAGUAUCGAAUACUGGUACCGAAUUGGUAUGGUACGGUACACUCUACAUCGUUCAGUACAGGUUGGUACAGCGUACCUUGAAUAUCAUAGUAUUUGGAAGCAUCAUCUAUAAAGAUAUAAAGUACCUUUUCCCUCCUCUGCUUAAGGUAUUAUUCAUAUCAUAUCUUAGUGUGUCAGCUCUAGCAACUCAGAAUCUCUUUCCAAAUUUGUUUAGCCUCAACAGAUGACAUUUCUUACUCAUAUCCAUAUAUGAUGUGGGUAUGAAUUCCAUAGUCAUCAUCCUUUAAGGUAAUUUUGUUCACAUGUCUCAAACUUUCGUGACACAAAUAAAAACAUUUAAUAUGAACAGCAGUAGAACAAUUGACUUUAUUAUGAUUAUCAUAAACUUAUAUCCAACGAGACGGUGAACCUUGGAUAGGAUCCUUCUAAAAGUGAUCUUUAGGUCCACUCAUUCCUUCUUCCACCACCUUUGCAACACUUGAGUUCUCUGCCCCCAUGCCCCUUUCUUCAGUACCCUAGUAGUUCACAUAAAGAGUGACUAGAAAUGAUGUGAACACUUGCACCUAUAACCAAGAUUCGUUUUUUUGGUACCGGAUCUCGUACUGGACCCCGUACCGGCGCCACAUUAGCACAGUGUCGGUACGGUAUGGUACAGAAUUUUUUUGGCGUACUGAGUGUCGGUACGCCACCUGUAUCAAAUACCGGUACCGAAUCAGUACAGUACGGUAUGCUCUGUACCAUCUGGUUCGGGCUGGUACAGCAUACCUUGCCUAUAACAAUCCACCAAUCAUUAGAUGAUUCAACCAGAUUUUUUUUUAGGACAAAUUGUUAUAACCCCAUCAUUGAUGCUAGCAUGGCUAGCAAUGGUGGUCACAACAUUUGCUUGAGCCGUAUGGGUUCUAGUUGCUUGGGCAUCACCCUUCUUAUCCUUCCUAUGGCAACAUUAUUUAGCGAAGUGGCUACACUUUCCACAAACAUAGUAUACCCUCUUAAUUUGGUCCUUUUGAGUCCUAGUGUUGGGUUAGUGUGCAUUCUUUUAUUUCUUUUGGGUGGCCUUUGUCUUGGUUUUUGGUUCUCCACUAGAUUGACCUUAUCAGCCAUUUCAUUUUCAGAUCACUAUUUAUCCAUUUUUGUCUGCUUCACUUCAAUUUAAAAUGAUGCCAAGAGGUCAUCUGGGGUAACUCUCCCUAUUAGCAAUAAUACCAAGAGGUCAUCUGGUGGAAGCUUGUCAAUAAGAGCAGGCACUUGGAGGCAUUCACCCAGUGAUAUCUUAUUUGCAAUAUUGCCUUGGGUGAGGUUCUAGAUUUCAUGGACUUGGUCUAGGACAAAUCUCCAUCUACCAUUUUGUAGUCAAAGUACUUGCUUACAAUGUAUUUUUGCAUUCAGAUGUUCUCUUUUCAAUAUUUAUUUUUUUAAAGAAGAUCAAGAUCUUGUAAGGAUUUGGUAGAAUAGAAGAUGUCAUAGAUGGCCUAGAUAAAGCACUCAAUAUCCUACCAUGGCAAAAAUAAUCAUCUCUUAGGUAUGCAUUUGUAGCAAGAGAAUAUGUCAAUUUGGAUCAUCUCUGGUGGGAGGAUCUUCAGAGAUGAUAUAAGACAAGUUAAGAGUGGUCAGCCAAAACUCCAUUCUACACCUGCCACCUCUUAAAUAAUUGGCCUCCAAAUCUGUCAGGCCUAGAGGAAUUUUCCUCCCCCACAAAAGCCAUAAUAACAAAAAGCAAAGCAGGUAAACCAUAAACGUCUGUAAGAUUGUAAAGAAAAAUUGCUAAGAAUAGCUAAUGUAGGUCUCUAAAGGCAAGGACAAACCGAGAGUAUGUUGAGGUGUGUGGCAGUGUACACCAUGGUGUGUACCACAGUGUACCAGCUUUGCUGCACAGCAGAAAACAGAUGAGAAAUAUGUAGGAGCCAAGGUGUGUUGGGCACUACUGUUAGACAAGUUCUGGCCACAUCCCCAAGCAUUGGUUUUUGGCUCAGCUUCUCUAUGAGAUACAAUGGACCUGAUCUGCACGGGUAAUACUGGCACACCAUUAGAUCCUUAGUAACUCGCAUUGAUGCACCUUUACCCAAGAAAAGAUAGAAUAGUGGAGAAAAACUCAGUGUUAGGUGUGUCUCUAUAUGUCCUCUGCCUAAGGCCUGUCCUGUGUAAAGAAGUCCAGGGAUCUGUAACAUUCCCAAGUGCUUAAUGAUAUAAGGACCUAUUAACACAAUAGAGUAAUGGCACCCCAACAGUCAAAAACCUAUUAACACCUACCCAAUGGUCAUAAACAAUCAAAAACAUGAUAAAGAGAAUUAAUAUUCACUAAUGGUGAUAAAAGAUAGGGUCUUAGGCAUGCAUAACCCAAACCUGCACCCACAAUUGCAGCAAAGCACAGUGCGGCAUGGCUUGUCUCGGCGCGUACUCCCUAAGCCUCCAUAUUGCUCGAGUUCCCUCCCCUUUAUGUGUGGAGGCUUUAGGAGAAGUCUCUAUCCAAUGUGGGCCUAAACUUUGUGAUAGAGAACAAGGACACAAGACUUCCUCAAAAAGGACUCCAAAAGUUUGGAAAUCUUGAAAUCUUCAUCUUGAAAAUUUAUCUCAUAAAUCAAACAACAUAUAACAAAAUGCAGGUUCAUGUCUGAAAUGAAUAUAUCAUUGAAAACAUGGUAUAUAAUGCCAUCUAUUUUUUUUACCAAUUUUAAAAUAUAGAGAUUUUAAAACUUGUUUUAGUUAUUUUUACAGUCAAAAAAGGUUGUUUUUUCAUAUUCUUUAAGUUGUUGUCAUUUUCAGAUUUUUCUUAUUUUAUGAUUUGGUCUUCUUAUUCUUCUUCUUCCUUUUCUUUUUGGGCAUGUUCUUGUUUUUCCUUCUUGGUCUUCCCUUGCACCAAUGUCCGGCAUCUAUCUCUAUGCCUAUUGAAGUAUGGGUGCUAAGACAUUAGGAUGGAAUCUUUUUAUUUCCCAAGUUAUUGUUUUCGAGCACAAUGCGAUGAAGAUAUUCUUUGAGAGUUUCUUAUAAAAAGAUAAUAGAGCCCUGGUUCUUUUUCUUUUCAUCUUCUACCAGCAAUUAUUUCCCCUUCUUGGAAGUAACUGCUUCAUGCAGUCUGGAUCAACUUCUCAAGUAAAGUGCACUAUCACAGGAAAGAAAAAUCAUUAUAUCUUGAGGAAAUCUACCAGAAGUUUUUGCACCUUUUGCGGUGUAUGUUCUCUGAGGACAGCAUGUUCUGAUGUGCCCUGAUCCACCACGCUUCUUUAUCAUCUCUCUCCCUAUCUAUUAGCUAGCUCUUGUCUUCUGUCCUUCUCACUGGGAUAUCAUUCUUAACCUAACAUUAUAGAAUAUGUGACCAACACUUUUAAUCUUGCUGAGGUAGAGUUGAACAAUUCUGGCUAUUUUUUGAUGUACUAAGUAUGUCAUUCUAGUGAAGAGCUAAUAUUGCUGGGUCAGAGUAUUGAUUUACUGAAUUUAACAUUCAAACAAAAAUAAAUAUUGUGGAAGUAUAAGAGAUUGUUGUAUGCUAGAAGGCUGUAAGUGAGACCCUCAAGUACAUUAGUGUUCCUCUUGUGGUUAGGCGCACCUAUCAGAUGUUAUUGUAUGACUAGCUUAUUCGUGUGGCUUUUUCUUGUUCUAAUUAUUUAAAGGUUGAAAUGUGCAUGGGUUGGUCGGCUUAAUAACAAUUUGUUGUGGGGAUGCCUUCCCUCAGCCAACCCUUUCUGGCUUGACUGACAUCACAUUAUUUUCAACCAAGGGUAUGGGAAAUUUAGGAUAUCAUUAGGUGGACCCGUGGAGAGUUGUAUAUAGGUCAGUGAAAGAGGGGAUAAAUUUAAGUUUCAAUGUGGUGUUUACGGUUCCUUCUUUGGGAUGGUUUCAACACUAAAUGUGUUCACUGCAUCAGCUUUUUGAAAAACAUCUGGGAAUACUCAGAAAGUGUUCUGAAUGAUAGAAUGGAGAACUGAAACAUGCAUAUGUUUGAAUUUGGGAAGUUUUUGUAGGAUCAUUUGUGGAGAGCUAUGCUUCAUCCAGAUGUAUUAAUGCCACCAGGUUCAGUAUGUGAGGUUGAUAUGGAUGAGAACUUUGCUACUUGGAUUUUGGAAAUGUUGCAAAAAUGCUGUAUUGGUGUAGCUUUUGUCUUGUUAGACCUCAUUAUUGAUUGACUUCAGUCCCUGUUAUUAUUAGACCAGUGGUGAUGGAUCAAGACAAGCACGAGUUUAGAUGUUGAAACUCCUUUAUGUAAAGGCUGAUUUUUAUUAUGAAGAAUCUUUCCUGAGGACGAAGAUGAGAAAGUUUUCUUGCUUUAUCUAAUAAGACAAAGAUUCAAGUGAAUUGGAACUUUAGAAACUAACAUGGUACUUACCUUAAAUGCAAAUUCACAUGUUAUAUGAAUGUAUUCAUGCAUGUUUUUUUUAAUCACUUGAGUAAAAAUGUCCCAAUCAAUGAAGUUUUGUGCAACCUACAAUAAAAAACGUGUACUCUCCACAUUAGUAAAACAGAAUCUGUACCUGGGAAGCAUCUUCCAUAUAUUAUACAAUCACAUUAUUCUGGCAUUGUUUCCUUAAUGCCUCACCAAACUCUUCCAAGAGUUGCUCAAUGCUUCUCCAUGAUAUCAGCAUGUUAUCAAUAGCAAAUACUCUUAGCUCGUCUUUCAGCUCUGUGAAAAGUAGAAAACAGGAUUUUUUGUUGGAUGAUGAAAGCAAGUGAUCCUAAAACAUUUCUAAUGCUUCAUGUCUCGUGUAUGUUGUGAUUCAUAUGAUUUUGUAUGCAUAAGCAUCCAGUCCAUAUAGACAACCUUCACCCUUAAUGUCUGAAUUUUGUCUUCCUUUCUUUCUUCUUUUAUCCUCUUCUACUAGAGUUACUUAAGAAAAAAAUUUGAAAUUGUAUUGUUGCAUCUGGGAGAACCAUUCUUGACUAAACCAACCUUUUUGACUUAAUUCUAAUAUACUAAUAUUCACAUGAUGUCGUGAGAAACAUAACCGGCCUAGUUGAUCUAGAGCUUUAAGGGGAAGAUAUGUGUUAUUGGUAUCAAAGAAGUGGAGAAAAUUUCUCAUAAGCUCUCCAAUAUUGGUAGUGAUCAAUAUCUCUCUCUCUACAAUACAAUAACUAGUUAGUCAACAUUAUAAAAUAUUCACAAACAGAAUAUUGAAAUAUUCUAAGAAAAUUGGAUAAUACUUUGAAUUCUUUUGGUUAUCAUAAUACCUUGAACAACCAUGAGUAGCUGAAGUUUUUCUGGUUUUGAAGUGUAACGAGAAACCAUCAACCAAAGAAGCAUAAAACAUGUUGCAUGGUAUGCCCUAUCGGUAGGUAUUGGUGUGUACCGGGCAUACUAUACUAGUACCAAAUCAGUAUGCGGUACUGAGGGCGCACCAAGUUUUGAUAUACAAAACCAAUGCUCAUACCGGAUAGUACCAACACUAUACCAAGAUGUUACUAGUAUGGAGUCCGGUACCUCAGACUACAAACCUUUGCAUGUUGCUUGAUAGUUAUGUCCUAUUAGUGUUCUUUUUUGGGAUUUUUUUGUUAUGUGGAGCAUGCAAGAAGUGUAAGUGUGCUAUUAAAUGAAACUAGUAAUGCUUAAUGUAGGAGAGAACACCAUGAUGUAGAAACCUGUUCUAUCUUGUGAAAGAUGAUUUGAGGUAAAUUUACAUUGGUUGAAUCCUUUUAAGAAGAAAAAAUAGUAUGGCAACUAUUUAUUGACAAUUAGGCAGUACCCGAUAAAGAAAGUAAUUUCAGAAGAUCUAGUCUUUUAAAAGUUAACCAGGUUAAUUUUCCAAAACAGGCAACAAUAUUUAUAAUCAAAUUUAGAUCAUGCCAGGCAUCAUGUCAUUUCACCAUUCCAAAGGAUUGACAGUUAGACAACUAUCAACUUAUAUGGAACGAAGACCUUUUCAAUUACAGUAGAAAAGGUAAUGCUGAAUAAUUACUUCUAUGAUGAGCAUAGAAACAAAAAUUUCUUCACCUUGAAACUGAAUGACCUCCUGAGCAGCCAAAUCUUCAUGUUCAAGAAGUUGUUCAAUUGAGAUUCCAAUAGAACUCAUCCCAAUAUGGGAUACUGUUAAUCUAAAACCAGCGGUAUUAUGAAUUCCUGGUUGCAGAUGUUAUAACAAAUGACUGUACAAUUAGAAAGAUAUUUGGAAGAGUUAUAGAUCAUAUUCAUUUAAGAUAACUUGAAUAACUCAGUUUCGAAUAUAAUAUUCCAUAUUGCAAAACAGAGGAUUCCUUGUAAAAAGGAUUCACUCCCAAAAAAGUUAUUCCUUACAUACUCAGUUAUGGGAUACUCGGAUAUUAUUUUCAUGCAAUCAGUCAAUGGAAGUAGAAAAAUUGUGUAAAUGAAGAUUGUACCUGCAACUCUGCUCCACUUCUUGAAAUCCCUAUGGAGUAUAUUGCUCACCUUAAGAUCCGAUAUAUCAAAUGUUUUGUAUUUCACUGCAUAUUAUAUUGUCUUUAACACAUGAAUAUAAUAAAUGAGAAGUUAAGGAUAGGCAAGAAGCCUUUUAAAGAAACAGCAUGAGCAAUAUAUUUUUUUUGUAUCAUACAAUGCAAGAACUACUACACAUUGAAUUUGAUUUGGGGAAUCAUCUUUUAAGUCCCAAGACUCUUCUGUCAUGAAUAAUAGCUUCUAUUUUGUACUCAUUAAACUUCAUUGAAGUUGGCAUCUGAUUUAUAAAAUGAUCUAAAGCUCAUCGAACAAAAAACAACCAUAUGACAUCAUUAUAUGUGGUGAUAUCCACUAGACAUUCUGACUGAAGAGGUCUUAUCAUUCAAACCAAUUUGUUAUUGGGAUGAUACAUAUGUCUGUACCAAGGUUUGUCGUCUCAGUACUGGACCCCGUUUGGUACCAUCCUAUAAUAGUAUUGGUACGCAGUACGGUAUGAGACAACUAGGUAUAUCGAGUGUCAGUGCAGUACGAGCCUACAUACCGGUUCGGUACCGGUACAAUACGAUAUGUUUUAUACGGUACAAUAACGAUCGAUAUGGCAAACCUUGAUCAGUACAAAAAUUAAAUAUUAAGAAUUUUUAAAUUUGGUGAAGUCCAUUGCAUCCAAAUCAGCCAGCUCCUUUAAUCAAUAAUGUUGCCAUAUAUUUAUCUUUAUAUGUGCACUUAGCAUUUGUCAGGUUUAGUGUGUUCAAGAUGAUACCUGAGAGCUGCACCCAGUUAAGAUGUACAAAAGUCAGUUAGAUAAUAAAAUAAGAUCAAAUGAGCUUCUUGACAAAAUAAAUUGAUGUCAAGUAUUGUUCUCGUAUAUCUGUUGUAAAUGUCAUUAUCUCAAUUUAAUUGAUAAGAAUUUAAGCUAUGAGGUUAUCGCUUGCAAAAUAUUGGUAUUAAUUGACCAUAAAUUUGUACGAAAUUUCUUGAAAUUUGCAGAAUUUGAGGUAAGUUCUAUUCGAAGUUGAAUUGGUAUGAUUUAGUGAAAAAAGAAAAGAGUGUACGGAGUUAUAAACAGCAUAUCCAUAUAAACAUGGGAUUUUUGUUAGCGAUAUAUGGCCAAAAGACCUAAUAUGUACUAGAAGUCUGCUGAAUCCCUGCCUAGCUAGAAUUCCAGGUGAUGUAUCUGCAAACUUUUCAGCAACAAGUGUACAACACGAGCAAUCCUAUUUCAGCAAGGUACGCAAACUGCUCUAGAUCAUGCAAAGUGUAGAACAAGUAUGAUAUGCCAAACUGCUGAAAAUAAGUGUUAUAAGCUUUUUCAUUUGUCAUUACGUGAGGUUCGCCAUCUUAGUAGCGAACCCCAAUACUAAUACCAUCCUAUUACAGUGUAAGUAUGCCUGAUACGGUAUCCGGUUCGGUGUACCGAGUAUCAGUACGCCUUCUGUACCAUGUACUGGUAUGGAAUGGUAUGGUUGGUGCAUAUUGGUACCGUCCGAUAUAGCAAACAGUAAACAAAAUAUUAUUUGACUGACCAACCCAUUUGCUAAAAAAGCAAGUACAGCCACUUUUAGAUUUGAAAUAUAAAUGAUUAAUUGUGGUAUAUUAUAUAAAAGUCUAAUUGGGCAAAAUGUGGACAAAUAGAUAGAAAUUUCUUGCAAGGUUCUGGUUUUCUUCCUGUGAUCAUUCUUUCAUAUGGUAUUCAUACUUUAAUAGGUCUGAUAAUAGUACUUAAGAACUUGCCUUCACCAGCAUAUGCUAACAAGUUAGUGUUAUUGUUUAUCAUUCUUUUAUCUGCUGUUCUUAUUGUUACUAUUGUUCUUAUUACUGUUACUACUAUUACUACUGCUGUUGUUAUUGUUGUUGUUGUUGCUGCUGCUGCUGCUGCUAUUUAACAAUAUGUUGUUCCUUCAAGGAGGAGCAGUCUAUUCUGAAGGGCUAACUCUUGGAGUACAGAUUUAGAUGAUAGCAUCUCAACAGUGUAAAUGUUCAUGUUCAAGUGCUUAGCAAACUGGUAGAGUUUCAACUUUCAAGGAAAGAAAUUCACUGAAUCCGAUUCCUGUGAUUGCUCUAA